AUUGAACGCUGGCGGCAGGCCUAACACAUGCAAGUCGAGCGGAGGAAGGGAGCUUGCGCCUGGAUCCAGCGGCGGACGGGUGAGUAAUUCCUAGGAAUCUGCCUGCUAGUGGGGGAUAAAGUCCGGGGACGGGCGCUACUACCGCAUACGCCAUGAUGGAGAAAGAGGGGGAUCUUCGGACAUUAAGCUAUCAUAUCAGCCUAGGUCGGAUUAGCUAGUUGGUCGAGUAAAGGCCUACAAGGCGGAGAACCGAAAUUGGUCUGUGAGGAUGAACAGGCACACUGGAACUGAGACACGGCCCCGACUCCGACGGGAGGCAGCAGUGCGGAAUAUUGCACGAUGGGCCAAAGCCUGAUCCAGCCAUGCCGCGGGUGUGCAGAAGGUCUUCCGAUUGUAAAGCACUUUAAGUUGGGAGUAAGUGCAGUACGUUAAUACCUUGCUGUUUUGACGUUACCAACAGAAUAAGCACCGGCUAACUUCGUG
rnacentral:rRNA from 1 species